GUACAUCACGUUUCAUGCAAAAUUGUCAAAAUACUGUCAAAUGUAGUCUUAAAUUUACAUGAAAGUAAUUUUAAUAAUGAUAUUGGUUUAAAGGAUAAAAUAUGGAACCACUAUCAAUUUUAUUACUUGGUACUUGUAUUAUUGCGUGUUGGCCAUGUUUGUUACCGUGUUGCUUAGCUCUCCCAAUUAUACCAUAUCCACUACUAAUUAUAGACUCCACGAAAAAUAUCGAUAAGUCCAAAAGAGAGAUGGACAGUCGUUUCUACUACAUAUGUGUUACGAAAAAUGGUAUAUUCUUAAAGAAAAAUCGAGGUUAUGAGAAGUUGACUACUUUUUGAUAUAACUUUGUUAUUUUUAUAAAAUUAAAAUGUUUUGUGCAUUUACAUAAACAGUUUUCUUAACCUAAUGUGAACCAAAAUUUAGCAGGCAGAAACAAAUACGCAACUUAAAAACUUUCUACAAAAUAUACGUAACAGAGCAUCUACACAAAAAUUUGCU